UACGGAGGAUCCAAGCGUUAUCCGGAAUUACUGGGCGUAAAGAGUUGCGUAGGUGGCAUAGCAAGUGGAUAGUGAAAGCGUAUGGCUCAACCAUAUAAACAUUAUCUAAACUGCUAAGCUAGAGUAUGAGAGAGGUAGAUGGAAUUCCCUGUGUAGGAGUGAAAUCCGUAGAUAUAGGGAGGAACACCGAUGGCGUAGGCAGUCUACUGGCUCAUUACUGACACUAAGGCACGAAAGCGUGGGUA
rnacentral:rRNA from 1 species